rnacentral:rRNA from 1 species
UUUAUAGAGAGUUUGAUCCUGGCUCAGGAUGAACGCUGGCGGCGUGCCUAAUACAUGCAAGUCGAGCGAACGGAUGAGAAGCUUGCUUCUCUGAUGUUAGCGGCGGACGGGUGAGUAACACGUGGAUAACCUACCUAUAAGACUGGGAUAACUUCGGGAAACCGGAGCUAAUACCGGAUAAUAUUUUGA